GUCGGUGGGGUGGGCAGGGGGACUAGGAGAAGGGACGAAGUAGGCACGAAGGUGGGAUAGAAAUUGUGGAAUAGUAGGGGUAGGCGGUAUGGUUCUGGGGGUUGGAAAGCAGCUGAGAACAGUGCGAGUAGGUCACACCGUCGACCACAGUGGCAGUCUGCGUUUGGCAAACGGCUCGACUGUCCAUCGAUAACAUGAAUUAUUCGAUCGUUACCACCGGUCUAUCGACGAAUUCCCGCCCAGGGAUGACAAGAAGGAACAAAAGGAUUCAGUUUUUCUCUGGCAGGCUCGUUUGAAAACAACAAGAAGAAAAAAUACAAAAAAAAAAAAAACACACACACAUAUUAUUAUAUACGUAUUAUAAAAGAUAAUUCUAAAAAAGAUAUAUAAAAAAAAAAAAAAAAAAAAAUAGAGAAAUAUUAUAGGAGAACACCAACGCACCCGUUGGCGGGGCUUUUUCCUUACGAACUUUUCUCUUCGUGAAUCUCGAGAAAAAGAGACAAGAGAGAGCGAGAAAGAGUGAGUGCGAGUAAGAGAGAGAGUGAGAGUGAGAGGGGGGAUACGUUAUUUACUGUUGAUUUUCUUCCCCCUUCUACUUCUACUUCUUCUAUUACUACUACUACUACUACUACUACUACAAAAAUGUUAUAUUAGUUCUUCUACUGCUGUGGGACACUUGUAUGUACUGAACAGAAAAAAAAAAUAAGAGAGAGAGGAAAGAUAGUGAAAGUGGUUGUUUUUGUUAGUUGAAGCAUCGUUCCUCUCUCUUCUCGUACAUUUCGAGAAUUCAUGCUACCCAGUAACAAUUGGUGUGUCACCUAGUAGUCACGUGUGUAUACUUCGUUUCUUUCUCCUCCGUUAUUAUACUUCUGCUGUUACAUUUUUCUUUUUAUUAAUCUUUUAACAUUUGUGAGAACAUUGAAAAGAGUGAGAGAGAGAGAGAGAGAAAGAGAACCGUGUUUUAAUAGAAGAAUAUAAUCAACGGAAGAAGCAUAACACGAGAUAAUAAUUAAUAUUGUUAAUUUAUUGUUAUCGUUGAAUCGUUGUUGAUUAACGGGAGAAAAGAAACAAAAAAAAAAAAAAACAAACCAGGAGCUCAGGUAUUUCAAAUUGUGAUACGCUUUUAAAGCGUAUUCUUUUUUCGUUUGUUUUUUCGUCUAUUAAGCAUUGAGAAUUAAACGGCAAGGAGGGGAAGGGGGAGAGAGAGAGAGAAAAAAAGAAAAUAUAAUUAGAUAAGAAAUUAGCCGAUGAUUUUGAUUCGAUGAUGGAAUUACCUUGACUGAUAAUUUAAAAAAAUCAAGAAAAUAAAACAACGGGAAAGCCGAUUAUAUAUUAAUACUUUUGUACGAUAAUCGAGUAAAUCGUUAAACAGUUUAUAAGAAGAAGAAGAAGAAGAAGGAAAAAUAACAAAAAAAAAAAAAGUAAGAAAUACGAUUGUAAGGAAAAAUUGAUCGAUGAUCUAAAGGAAAUCUUUGGACAAAAUUGACGUCUCGUUGUCGAAUUGUUUGAUAUCACAAAUAGAGAAAGAAACUAACAAACAAACAAACAAACAAACGUACACGUAAGUGUAGAUCGUCAAACUAUUUUAGUCACUUACAUUUAAUCGUUUCUACAACUUACUCGGAUGGAUAUCGAACGAUAAGAUCAUCGAAUGUUCGAUACGCUGCUCUAAGAGGAAUCUAAAAAGAAAAAGAAGAAAAAGAAAAAGAA